GCUGGGUGUGAUGGCACACACCUGUAAUCCCAGCUACUUGGGAGGCUGAGGUGGGAGAAUUGCUUGAAUCCGGGAGACAGAGGCUGCAGUGAGCCAAGAUCACGCCACUGCACUCCAGCCUGGGUGACAGAGCGAGACUCCGUCUCAA
rnacentral:SRP_RNA from 1 species